UACGUAGGGGGCGAGCGUUGUCCGGAGUUACUGGGCGUAAAGCGCACGCAGGCGGUCUGCUAAGUUUGGAGUGACAGUUGGUGGCUUAACUGCCAAAGUGCUUCGAAAACUGACAGACUUGAGGGCUUCAGAGGGACACGGAAUUCCGGGUGGAGUGGUGAAAUGCGUAGAGAUCCGGAGGAACACCAAAGGCGAAGGCAGUGUCCUGGGAGGCAUCUGACGCUGAGGUGCGAAAGCCAGGGGAGCGAACGGG
rnacentral:rRNA from 1 species